rnacentral:rRNA from 1 species
CAAUAGCGUAUAUUAAAGUUGUUGCGGUUAAAAAGCUCGUAGUUGGAUCUCGGCAGGCAGGGGGUGGUUCGCUCCUUAGCGCUACUGCCCCAUUUGCCUGUGUGAUUGGCAGAGGUUUCGGGGUGCCCUUUAUUGAGUGACCCGGAGCGCUGUCAGGUUUACUUUGAAAAAUUAGAGUGCUCAAAGCAGGCUUUUCACGCUUGAAUAUUCGUGCAUGGAAUAAUAGAAUAGGAACUCGUUUCUAUUUUGUUGGUUUUCGGAAAUCGAGUUAAUGAUUAAUAGGGACAAUUGGGGGCAUUAGUAUUCAGACGACAGAGGUGAAAUUCUUGGACCGUCUGAAGACUAACUACUGCGAAAGCAUUUGCCAAGAGUGUUUUCAUUAAUCAAGAACGAAAGUUAGAGGUUCGAAGACGAUCAGAUACCAU